rnacentral:rRNA from 1 species
UACAGAGGGGGCAAGCGUUGUUCGGAAUUACUGGGCGUAAAGGGCGCGUAGGCGGCCUUCUAAGUCGAACGUGAAAUCCCUGGGCUCAACCCAGGAACUGCGUCCGAUACUGGGAGGCUUGAAUUCGGGAGAGGGAUGCAGAAUUCCAGGUGUAGCGGUGAAAUGCGUAGAUAUCUGGAGGAAUACCGGUGGCGAAGGCGGCAUCCUGGACCGACAUUGACGCUGAUGAGCGAAAGCUAGGGGAGCAAACGGG